rnacentral:rRNA from 1 species
UACGAAGGGGGCUAGCGUUGCUCGGAAUCACUGGGCGUAAAGCGCGCGUAGGCGGGUCGUUAAGUCGGGGGUGAAAUCCUGGAGCUCAACUCCAGAACUGCCUUCGAUACUGGCGAUCUUGAGUCUGGGAGAGGUGAGUGGAACUCCGAGUGUAGAGGUGAAAUUCGUAGAUAUUCGGAAGAACACCAGUGGCGAAGGCGGCUCACUGGCCCGGUACUGACGCUGAGGUGCGAAAGCGUGGGGAGCAAACAGG